UAACUCACGAGUCUUGAUCUUUUUUGUUUCUUUUUAUUUAUUUAUUUAUGAUUUUUCUAUAUUUUUUAAGGAAGUUUCAAGAAAUUUCAUGAAUAAAAUCAGUGUCAUUUGACGGAGAGUAUCGUGAAAUUUCGCAUUAUUUAGGGCAACCAAAUGCAACCUUAAUUUAGGAAAAAAAGGAAUCAGGGCUAGAAUUGGGUGAUAGUUACCCAGAUCAGUAUGCAAGGGGCAGAUUCCUUUUGUUUUGCAACAUUUAAAAGAUUGUGGUGGCUAUUCAACCGUUUGUGUGCAAUCCAGACCUGAAAACUUGCUGGGCCAACUGUGGACGGAGCAUAAGUGAAAACUUGCACUGACAAGAUGAUUCUGACCAUCUGAUUUUUCUAUUUGAAAUUGGACCACUCACAAUUUUUUAUUUUUGACUAUAUAUUUGAUAGUCGUUUAUUAGAUGGUUAGGAUUUCUAUAGCCACAAUGGGACCCAUAGUUUGAUGGUCUGGAUUGCCUUACAUCAGUGCCACAUGUGAGGAGGAUGAGUCGUCACCUUUUUUUUUUUAGGGGGUGAAAUGGAGCAGUUAUCAUAUGGGUCUAGCCCUUUUGUAAGUUGUGGGGCUUCCACUGUAUAUGGAGCAUGCAUGUGUGGGCCCCUUUUGUGGAUGGGGUAGAGCCUCCAGACAUUGAUGGAAUGAUUAUAGCCAUCUUUUUGCUAGUUGAAUUUGGACUGAUGAUUUCUAUGAUGGGCCUGAAAAUGUUGAUAUUGGAUCAAGGUGCGGACUUUUUUUUUUUUUUCCUUCCAGGUGUUCACUCUGUUUGAUGAUUUUCCUAUCGGAUUAGGAAGCCAGAUCCUCUACAAGCUUAUUGUACAACUACCUGUGUGGGGCCCCCUGUGAUGUAUGCACAGCAUCCAAUCUAGACAUGAUGUGAGUUCCCUCCUGUUCUCCUUGGAGGCAAAAAAUCAGGCUGAUCAAGAACUCAAGUUGGCCACACCAUGCAAAAUCAUGCCUAAAACAACUAAAAUCCUGUGGUGUGGCCCACCUGAGUUUCUUAUGCAUGGAUUGGAUGGCAUGUACAAAACAAAGUGGGACAUAAAACACAAUUUGGAAGGCGUAAUGAUUGCCCACCCUAUGUAAAAUCAUGCCUAAAACCAAUAUUGGCCCACCUGAGUUUCUUAUGAAUGGAUUGGAAUACCUGUAGAGGUAGGAGGAGGAAGGCUUUAGGAUUUACCUGGUGUGAGAUAUCACAUUAUUCGAGUAACCCUAUAUUGUGUCAGAGUAAAGGACCGUCAACAAGGGCGUUUUAGUGCAUUGUAGAUUCUUAUCCAAGACUUGUAUCAUUUAAUGAUGCCAUGUGGAUCACUAGAAAAUGUGAAGUAUAUGGCUAACCUAAUCACGAAAGUUUUAUUAGUAAAGAGAUCUGAUUCGGAACUAUUACACUAGGCUCCAAACGCAAUCUGGAAGACUAUAACAGUUGACGCCCCCUUUCCAACUGUUACCUGUGACGUGACCCACCUGUGUUUUGGAUCUGUCUGAUUUUAUUUUUUUUGGAUAUGGGGUGAAUUUCAUCCACAAAGUGGAUGUGGGCCUAAAUCAUGGUGGGCCCCACAUAGGUAGUUGUAGACUAAGCUUAUUCUACAUUAGUUGCAAAGCAACCUGGCCCCAUAUGGUACCAAAACU